CGAAAGCCUGACGGAGCAACGCCGCGUGUGGGAGGACGGCCUUCGGGUUGUAAACCACUUUUCUCAGGGAAGAAGGACUGACGGUACCUGAGGAAUAAGCCUCGGCUAACUCCGUGCCAGCAGCCGCGGUAAUACGGAGGAGGCAAGCGUUAUCCGGAAUUAUUGGGCGUAAAGCGUCCGCAGGGGGCGCAUCAAGUCUGCUGUUAAAGGCUGGAGCUUAACUCCGGUAGAGCAGUGGAAACUGGUGCGCUAGAGGGCGACAGGGGUAGAGGGAAUUCCCGGUGUAGCGGUGAAAUGCGUAGAGAUUGGGGAGAACACCGGUGGCGAAAGCGCUCUACUGGGUCGCACCUGACCCUCAGGGACGAAAGCUAAGGUAGCG
rnacentral:rRNA from 1 species